GCAUCUAUAACACUUUCAACAUAUUUAUAUUUUUCUCUUUAAUUUUUUCAAAUAUUUAAUUUUACAAUUUGAAAAUUUAAACUAUCUUAAGCUAUAGUGAAUUGAGUUAAAAGAGGAAUUAUGUCGCACAUUAAUACUUUUACUAUCGCUUCAAAAAGUUAUCUAGAAUAUUUCGCUAGAAGAACAAAGAACUCAGUCACAAAGAUUCGGGUCGACAAGGGAAAUAUUUUAUUAAAAAUAGGACAUUUUAAGCAAAGUAAACAGCAGGACUAAAAACUCUUGUCUUUCUGCUGCGAAAUUCGAUUUAUAUCAAUUUGGCAAGAGGGACACCAUAAACUCAACACAAAAAUUCAAGUUAUUAAAUCCCAGAAAAGUUUUGACAAUAAGUAAAAACAACAACCUACUUUAUUUGGCUUGAAGAGCAAGUUCAGUUUCGACUCUCGGCUCUCUUGUCAGCAGUUGUUCCCCUCUGAACAGCAGCAACAACAACAAAGAGAGCAGGCGAGACACCAACAAUGAAAGGUGCGACCUGACAGCGCCUAGACGAGAGGCUCGAGGGCGCCCCGACAAUAGGAAUACUGCUCUAGCUGCUUGGCUCCUAGCUGGCGGUGCAGCGCCUCCAGCAAAAAACACAGUAAGAGAGAGAGAGAGAGAGAAUGGCGCAAUGUGAAAAUCGAAGAAAAACAAUUAAAACGUGCAAAAAUAAAACAGAAAAAACAAAGCGCAGGCAAACAAAUCAUAAAAUACAAAUGAACCAAACAAAACGGAGGCACACGAAAAUGAAAAUGAGAAUAACUAAAGAGCCAGCACACAAAACUCAGCCAAAUGGGCAGUACUGAUAAAGACAAAAACAGAGACACAGUGACAAAGCAAAGAAAAAUAGAGUAUUAUUAUUAGAGUAUGGUUAGGUUUAUGUGGAUCAAAGGAACAGGAGUCUUCCUAAACAUGAACUUUUUUACAUUUUUACAAUGCAUUAAUAACUGUUCGUUUCCUUCAAAUAUCAUUAUAAAAAUUAAAAAAACUGAACUAACAUUUUUAA